UUAUAGGCUUAAAUAAGUUUUUGGUCCCUAACCUUUACCAUAUGUUUGGUUUUCAUCCCUCGCCACCCACCUUUACUCCGGCGAGGGACUAAAACCAAACAUAUGGUAAAGGUUAGGGACCAAAAACUUAUAGCAGCAUUUGA
rnacentral:pre_miRNA from 1 species